UUACAUGUGUUUGUUAGCCAUCUGUAUGUCUUCUUUGGAGAAAUGUCUGUUUAGUUCUUUGGCCCAUUUUUUGAUUGGGUCGUUUAUUUUUCUGGAGUUGAGCUGUAGGAGUUGCUUGUAUAUUUUUGAGAUUAGUUGUUUGUCGGUUGCUUCAUUUGCUAUUAUUUUCUCCCAUUCUGAAGGCUGUCUUUUCACCUUGCUAAUAGUUUCCUUUGAUGUGCAGAAGCUUUUAAGGUUAAUUAGUUGUUUUGUGGAAUUUACUCGACGUUUAAAUGCUCUUUUGAUGAAUUUGUGGGGGAGA
ensembl:lncRNA